UCGAAUCGGCACUCGACUUCGACAUCGGGAGAGUGACAAAAAGCAUUAUACUCGCACCACGUGCUCUCUGUUUAUCACCAGGGUAUUCUGGGAAGCGGUGCUCAUGGUAACCAAUGUAAACAGCAGCCCUUCUUCUCCUCUUCAUUUCCUCGGCUCUGCAGUAGCGCCUAAGCGGAUGAAAAUAGCAAGAAUGGCUCGCAGCGAGAACCAGUAUUAUGAAAAGAUAACAUCGAUUCAACAAAACAUGCACAUAAGGGAGAAACGGAGGCUGCAGCUGGAGAAGGAACUGUUUGCUCACUCCAGAUCUGAUAGAAGAAUCUCACAGAUAAAGUGUUCCAAACUGCGCAGUUAUCUCAAGGAAAUCUGUGACAGGGAGGCACGAGCAAAACUGAGAAACCUUGAGCUUCUGAGAGAUGUGGAGUGCAUAGAAAUUAGCAUGAAGGAAUAUAGUCCUGACCAUGCCCCCCUGCAACAACAAAAGGCUGACUUUUUCAAAAAGAUUUCUAGAUUUAUGGAAGCAAAGAAGAAUGUAGAGAAGGAGCUCAGCACAGCAAAGGUUGAAGCCGUGUAUAGACGGCACCAGGACAGCUUCCUCUCUCACCCAGCAAGGGAUUUUACACAACCGCCAUCAGUAAUUUUUAUGGGCUGCCAGACCUCCAGAGGGUCUGACGCUGAAGCUGGCACCACAAGUGUACACUCACACCAAGCAUUGCAUCGUUCACCCAAUCGCAGCAUGCACUCCCGCGAACGUCUACCAAGUGGCCUUUUGAAGGACUUCAGAGUUGGCGGAGAGGAUUCUGCCAGCAACCGAGCACAUUUAUCAGAUGACAUUUCAGGCUCAAACGAUUCCCCUGACGGCUGUAAUUUGAGUGACAAACAUGAAAGAACGAUGGCGGUGCACCCAUCUGUUCGUGCCUUAACAGGCGCAGCUGGCAAUGUGCCUUUUGGAAGUGAUGAUGAACAAGAACCUUCACCUCUGGUGACCUUGACUGGGCCUGAGAAGAAUCUGUCUCCCAGCAGCAGUAGAAUCAUGAGGAAUUCCCCUGCAGAACACCAUGACUCCCGAGAGAUGGCUCAUCAGCCACCCAUAAUGGAAGAUGGAGAGAGAAGUCACAGUCAUUUCAUGUCUCAAACCACUUUGGAAAAAGAAGCUCAAGAUAUUCCAGGUAGAUGUGAGAGUGUCAGCACACCAAGCUCUGAUGUGCAGUGGUCGGAAAGCAGUGCUAGUGAUCUCUCCAUUUCCCUGACACAAUCUGAACUGGAAGAGGAUCUACCAGAGGGCGUGGUACCUGAGGGGAAUGGCACUUCUGGAGGGAGUGAUGAUCACAAUCAGCACAGUCCUGAAUCAUCCCUCCACUCUGAUGGGUCCAAAAACACACCACAGUUAAACUCUGAAUCCUUAGCUCCAGUGACCGUGGAAAGUCUCUCCCAGGAAGGACUCUUUAAUCUGCUGGACAACAUCGAAGGACGACUUCAUGGUGAACAGACCAUUGUGUACGGGGAUUCUGCAGUUGAUGGAAGACAACUCAAUAGAAUUAUCAGCCUUUGUAACGGUGGAGCAGGCUUGAAUGACGAGGACCUUGAAGCAUGUGGAGCAGUCAUCCUUCAUGAGCUUCAGAGGUUGUCAUGGAGCACAGCAAAGGGCUGCCUGCUACCACAGGAUCUAGUGAGAGCUCACCCGUCCAGCACUGAGCCUAAUGAAAUAAGCACCAGCCUCCCUGCUGAUGCUGUUCGGCUGUGGGAUCGCUGGUUCAAGCACGCCCUUCUGCUGAAGGAGCGCCGUGUCCUCAGCACUGAGCGCUUGGUCCAGCUGUUCACGCCGCAGCUGCUGGAGCGCCAUGCCGCCUACAGCCACCAGGCCAAAGUGCUGCUGAGGACACUUGUGUCCCGGUCCAGUGAGGAGUGCCCCUCAGCAGAGGACGAGAGUGACAUGUCUUCUUCGUGUGGUCCUCCUCCUCUCCUGGCUGACAGUGAUGGGAAGCCCGCCAGGCCGGUACGGAAGCAUCAGAUCCAAGAACUACAAAGUACUGAAGAGGACAGCCAGGACGAAAGCCCUGUGGAAAGUGUUCCUAUUAGAGAGACAAAAGCAUAUCAGUUACUUAAACAAUCAGCCAUGCAGGAAGGCAAGGGAGUUCUGAAGAGAGGGGGAGGACGAUGGUCUCUAAGGAAUAAAUCCUGGCCAUGAAGAGGACCUGGGGAGGGCCAAACACUCCUCACAUCAAGACCCUUACCUUCGGAAAGAGACAACUAACUCAAAGGCUCAUUCUGCUCUACAGUCCAAAGCUCUUUGGGGGGAAUCAGAUGACAGCUACUCAGAGAUUGAAGCAGCCUUACGUCCUCAACCUUUCAACAAAAACAACGAUGACAUUGAUGACUUCUGUGACUGAUAUUUCCCUGCAGAUAUUUUUUAAAUGCACUACAUUAUAUCGCUGAAAAUUUCAGGCGGUUUGGCUCACAGUAAUUCACCCCCCUGACCAUUGUUUUAGUGGUCUUUUUGUAAAUCAUAUGCACACUGCAUUGUAAAAACAAAUAAAGUUGACAGCUCUCAUGCUGGGUAAAGUAUGUGAAGAGUUGUCCAACACUCUGAUGUUAA